CAGAUAUGUCCUCUUAUAAAAAGAACACAAUCAGGUUCAGGUUACUUUAUUGGUACCUGUGGGUAAACUAGGUUUACAGUAGAGGCAGGACAUCCUUAAAACGUAG